GACGAACGCUGGCGGCGUGCUUAACACAUGCAAGUCGAACGGAAAGGCCCUGCUUUUGUGGGGUGCUCGAGUGGCGAACGGGUGAGUAACACGUGAGUAACCUGCCCUUGACUUUGGGAUAACUUCAGGAAACUGGGGCUAAUACCGGGUAGGAGCUCCUGAUGCAUGGUGGGGGUUGGAAAGUUUCGGCGGUUGGGGAUGGACUAGCGGCUUAUCAGCUGGUUGGUGGGGUAGUGGCUUACCAAGGCUUUGACGGGUAGCCCGCCUGAGAGGGUGACCGGCCACAUUGGGACUGAGAGACGGCCCAGACUCCUACGGGAGGCAGCAGUGGGGAAUAUUGCGCAAUGGGCGGAAGCCUGAUGCAGCGACGCCGCGUGCGGGAUGACGGCCUUCGAGUUGUAAACCGCUUUCGCCUGUGACGAAGCGUGAGUGACGGUAAUGGGUAAAGAAGCACCGGCUAACUACGUG
rnacentral:rRNA from 1 species